AUGCACGCUGGCGGCGUGCCCAAUACAUGCAAGUAGAACGCUGAAGGAGGAGCUUGCUCUUCUGGAUGAGUUGCGAACGGGUGAGUAACGCGUAGGUAACCUGCCUGGUAGCGGGGGAUAACUAUUGGAAACGAUAGCUAAUACCGCAUGACAACAGUUAUUGCAUGAUAACUGUUUAAAAGGGGCAACUGCUCCACUACCAGAUGGACCUGCGUUGUAUUAGCUAGUUGGUGAGGUAACGGCUCACCAAGGCGACGAUACAUAGCCGACCUGAGAGGGUGAUCGGCCACACUGGGACUGAGACACGGCCCAGACUCCUACGGGAGGCAGCAGUAGGGAAUCUUCGGCAAUGGACGGAAGUCUGACCGAGCAACGCCGCGUGAGUGAAGAAGGUUGUCGGAUCGUAAAGCUCUGUUGUAAGAGAAGAACGAGUGUGAGAGUGGAAAGUUCACACUGUGACGGUAUCUUACCAGAAAGGGACGGCUAACUACGUG
rnacentral:rRNA from 1 species